rnacentral:lncRNA from 1 species
CACAGCCAUUUGUGGGAUUUUACUGCACGCUAACAGAGCAUCCAGCUCCUGGCUAUCAAUGCGUAAGGCUCUAGGGACCAGGUAACACGUGCAAAAUAAACUGCUACGGCAUUGAAGCAGAGAUAUCAGUCAUUGCCACUUUCAGCUCUUGUUGCUAAGUGGUCCCAAAUGGCACCAUAGUUCUUGCAUGAAUCCACUGGAAGAGUCACUUCUGGGGAGGAAUGGCUCUGGGAACUGCACAGCUCCCAGCACACAUAGGUUGCGUUUGUUGGGAGCAAUGCAUUGUGAGAACACCAAUGUGAUGUCACCUCCUCCUUCAUCAGUUGUGAUGUUCCAGGCCCACCGCAGCCAUCGCGUGCAUCAGGGAGAUCUGUUCGUUGGCUUCAGCAUGGAUACAGGGAGAAGGAAAACACCAGGAGAGCUGUUAGAUAUGCCCAGCUCUUCAGACACCAUUACCAGGGACUUCGUGAGAGCCUCCUCACGCCCAGCAACCCAAGGCUGGAGUGGAGCUUGCUGUGUGGAUCAAU